AAUUUAAAGUCUAACCUGCCCACUGAAACAUUAAAGGGCCGCAGUAUUUUGACUGUGCAAAGGUAGCAUAAUCAUUUGUCUUUUAAUUAAGGACUAGAAUGAAUGGUUGGAUGAAAUAUUAACUGUCUCAUUUUUAAAAAAAUAAAAAUUUAUUUUUUUAGUUAAAAAACUAAAAUAAAUUUAAAAGACGAGAAGACCCUAUAGAUCUUAAUAAUUAAUAAUUAUAUAAAAAUUAGUUUUAAAUAUAUUAUAUAAUUUAUAAUUAUUUUGUUGGGGUGACAAAAAAAUUUAAUUAACUUUUUUUAAAAAAUAAACCAAUAAUAUUUGAAUAUUUGAUCCAGUAAUAUUGAUAAUAAAAUUAAGUUACCUUAGGGAUAACAGCGUAAUUUUUUUAGAGAGUUCUUAUCGAAAAAAAAGAUUGCGACC
rnacentral:rRNA from 1 species